rnacentral:lncRNA from 1 species
UAAGUCAAGAGCCUUGUCUUUCUUCCGCUGCAUUCCUGUUACAACAGUGUGCUGUUAUUAAGCUGCUGCCUCUCAGCUUCAAACCCAUGCCUCUCUACUGGGCUGUAUGAUGCUGAGGCUGAUAUUCAGCUAACCACCCUUUUCCCUGGCCCAGCUGACUUUCUGUUUGGUUCUGUCCAUAGGGGGGGCGCUAGAGGAAGACCUUAAUACAGGUGGAGAAGGACUCCUACUUGCCUGCUUUCCAGAAUCAGAAUCAAUGCAGCUUUCCAGAAGCAGUUGGUCCCAGCUCCUAAUGUUUUUUUUCUGUAAUCGCCAGAGCCAGGACCCUUCAGAGAUACCAGGACCAGCAGGCAGGGUGGCCUUCUCACAUGACUAGGACCCACCUCCUCCAGAAGCCUCUUGCCAGCUCCUAGGCUCUAGUAAUUCCAUCUCAUUUGUUUGUCUCCCCAGCCCUAAGGGUGGUAGCUGCCUCUUGCAUUCACUGCCAUUGACUCCUCGGUGCCAUCUUUUGUGGUUUUACUCCUCCAACAUCUGUUUAACCAAUUCCUUAUAUUAAGUUCUCCCUGUUAAGAUAACAGGUGGAACAUCUGUUUUCCUGACUGGCCCUGACUGAUGCAUGGAUGGUUUCACUGUCUGCUUGUGGCCAAACUUGCCACUUCUUAAUGAGGAUCCCCAGCUGGGCCCCUUCAAGGCCAAAAGUCUAUGAAUGGAAAAGAUCAGCCACCAGCAAGAAAUGAUGAUUGUCAAGCUGUAAGAUGUAUUUUUCUCAGAAGCUUGCACAGUCUGCCUAUGGCCAGUCUCCACUAUGCAGUAUCUUUUCCAAGGUCAGUGCCUGGCUUCUAGAAGCACAAGCGUAUACAAUGACUGAUGUGUGUGUAGGACGCCAAAAACCAGAAACAUCUUUAUCUUGCUAUCUCAUUUAGUUUUCUUAAAACUCUUCUGAGGAAGAUACUAUUACUAGCCUUAUUUUUCAGAUGAGGAAACUGAGCUUUCAAGAGGUAAAGUAAUUUAUCCAAUUGACAUACUGUGUGGCCUGACUCUGGCCUGAAAUCCAUCUGCUGUGUUAUCAACUUGAUAUAAUUCAACACAUGUGUUUGGCUUAUUCCUUUAAUCAUCAAACAUUUAUCACAGCUCUAUUGUGCACCAGUCAGCAAAAACAAAACCCAACCAUUUCAGCAAUGGUUUAUUUAUAAGUACGGAAGGGCUGUUAGGCUCUUUGACCAGCAACUAGUUAAUACAACCUACCGCCCCACCCCAGAUGCAGCAGCUAUUUUGCUUUUUUAAUAUCAAUAAAUCAGACUUUUCUUAGAAUGAAACGAUUUUCACCUUGUAUCUGGCUAAUCAUUUGUAACCCAUUUUCCCUCAAAUGGAGAGAAUUAUUCCAGCCAGUAUUGAAACCUCAGCAAAUUGGGAGCAGAGGUAUGCUGCAAUUUGGAGUACCAAGGUAUUUAGAAGAUCAUCCUUUGCUGUCAUUGGUGAGAUCCUAGAAUGCCUGGAGUAACAGAUCUGACCUCUUACAUCAGGACUGGUGAGCACAUGUCAGUGGGACUGCAAAGGCAAAAGGGUCUUGUCUGUUCUGGUUUGAAACCUGUCUGCCGUCAUUAAAUUCUUGGGGAGGGGGUAAUCAGACAGGCAUUGUUUUCAAAAAAGAAACAUCUCAGUUCUCAUCUCACAUUUGAUUAUUUUUUCCAAUUUCAUAAUGACUCUUCACACAGCACCUCCAGCUGGACCAUAUUCAUCCCAUCUUCUUCCUUGAUGUCAACUUAAUAUAUAGAUUGCAGAAGCCACCUUAUGAAUUAUCUUUCUAAAAUAGUAAAACAUUCAAAUGUGCUCAUAAAAUAUUGAACAUGUGGUAGUAUAACAGACUCCACUAAAAUGAAUCUGUUCAAUUUCCCUUCAAUAGUGGCAGCUCCCAGAAUAAGUAGAAAGUAAUACUUCUCUUUGCCUGGAAGCUGGAGGUUCUCAGCUAACAUUUAAAUCCUUGAUCACCCAGCAGGUCAGGGAGGAAAUCAUGCAUCUGGACAGGUUCUUGGCUUGGACAGGUCGUGAAGGGCUGUGUGCAGUUUUCCACCUCAAUACACAGGACUCCCUCACGUGAUGUUGUUGGUGUUGUUAAAAUGGCUUUUAGAAAAACCUUGGGUUUCCCUCCAAGUCCACUGAACGGAACGACUUUUGGGGGAAGGUAACUCUUGGGCAGAGAAACACAGGCUUGUAUUUCUACCAGCUCAGCAGGGUUUAUGACCAAAAUAGUUUGUCAUCUUUUUUUAAGGCAGUAGGCAGGUGUAUACCAGCUCAUCUCCCUUUCCUCCUUUCUUUCUCCUGUUUCUCUCUCUCUCUUUUUUUUUUUUUUUUUUUUUUAAGGCUAAGUUCAAUUUCUGAACUUUUUCUCAAAAAAAGGUCUAACUAGAUCCGCUCUGGACUGAUGUAAUUGCUUUUCCUUGACCCAGUUCAUUGAAGCUGUUUCUCCAUCAAGUCAUGGUAGGACAGGGGUGGGCAGGCUUGGAGAGGGAGGGGCACAUUCUGCUUUCCAAAGGAGAAAAACCUUCACCUCAGAGCUGGGCUGGCAGACAAAAACCAUUUUCUAUUGCUGAUAUUUUCAGUCACCAGCUGGUACAUAGUGAACAGUUUCUCUGCUGCACAGAAGAUAGUCAUUUGUAAUAGCCUGAGCUAACUAGGACGUGACUGCGGUGGUGAUUCCUCUUGGCUAAUUGGAUUGUUUCAUUUCAUUUAAUGGGUAUAUAAAUACAAUGACUACUCAAUCACUUUUUAAAAAGUGUUUGAAAGAGCAGGUAUACAUUAGAGAUACUGUUGUGAUUUACAGGAACUUGGGUUUUUUAACUCCCUCUUGAAACAAUGUAUAAAUUGCUAUAAAUAUUUAAAGAAUGUAGAUAAGUAGAGGACAGACAUUGUCAAAGAAAACAGGAUGGAACUUUCCUAACAGUUUCCAUUCUCUAAUUUGAGCACCUUAGAAAUGACAAUAAAGUGGGGUCUUAUUAUCAUAUGAUUGAUUAUGAGAAUUAGAUAUAGUACAAAUUCAAAACUGAGUCUCCUUUAAAACACAUAAACAUACUCCUUUAUCCUUGUCUUCAAUAUUAGCAUAAUCAAGGGGAUUGAUUUACUUUAUUUUUAGCAGCUCAAAUGCAGUGAACUAUAUGAAGUGCCCAGUGUUUGACACAUAAUCAGUAAACAGUAUUAAGUUCAUGAUUCCAAGAAGGCUGUGACUAUUUAAAGGGUAGAAAGCCAGGAGUAGUGACUUAUGUUUAGGAAAUUGUUUUGUGCUAUGAUUGUGGAUUUUCUAGUUUAGAGAGCCACCAACUGUGUAUCUGAAAAAAUGGCUCUGCCUCCAAAUAGCUGAAUACAGGACUUCCUGUCAUGGCUCAACAAUUAACACAUAUGACUAGCAUCCAUGAGAACCCAGGUUCGAUCCCUGGCCUCCAUCAGUGGGUUAAGGAUCUGGCAUUGCCGUGAGCUAUGACGUAGGUUCCAGAUGUGGCCCGGAUCCCGUGUUGCUGUGGCUAUGGCUUUAGCCUGCAGCUAUUGAUCUCAUUCAACCCCUAACCUAGGAACCUCUAUAUGCUGCGAGUGCAGCCCUAAAAAAAAGAAAAAAAA